CUAUCCUAUGGUUAAGGACUACAUCCUAGAAGAAUCAUCUUAAUAAAGUGCAUAUACAAAUUUCAACAGGAUCAAGUCUGAUCUCAGUCAUGAAAUGGAAUCUGAUAUGAUAGAUGUGUGCAAGGGUGUGACUAAAAUCUGUCAUUAUAUAAUUGCUCUGCCACCUGAUCUUC